AGAAGACUGGCGCAGUGGUUUGAGCACUGGAUUACAACUCUGGAGGCCAGAGUUCGAUUCGCAGUGGGUUUG